GAUGAACGCUGGCGGCGUGCCUAAUACAUGCAAGUCGAGCGAACGGACGAGAAGCUUGCUUCUCUGAUGUUAGCGGCGGACGGGUGAGUAACACGUGGAUAACCUACCUAUAAGACUGGGAUAACUUCGGGAAACCGGAGCUAAUACCGGAUAAUAUUUUGAACCGCAUGGUUCAAAAGUGAAAGACGGUCUUGCUGUCACUUAUAGAUGGAUCCGCGCUGCAUUAGCUAGUUGGUAAGGUAACGGCUUACCAAGGCAACGAUGCAUAGCCGACCUGAGAGGGUGAUCGGCCACACUGGAACUCAGACACGGUCCAGACUCCUACGGGAGGCAGCAGUAGGGAAUCUUCCGCAAUGGGCGAAAGCCUGACGGAGCAACGCCGCGUGAGUGAUGAAGGUCUUCGGAUCGUAAAACUCUGUUAUUAGGGAAGAACAUAUGUGUAAGUAACUGUGCACAUCUUGACGGUACCUAAUCAGAAAGCCACGGCUAACUACGUG
rnacentral:rRNA from 1 species